rnacentral:rRNA from 1 species
CUAAGAAUCUUCCGCAAUGGACGCAAGUCUGACGGAGCGACGCCGCGUGGGUGAAGAAGGCCGAAAGGUUGUAAAGCCCUUUUCUUGCUGAAGAAUAAGGGCAGGAGGGAAUGCCUGUCCGAUGACGUUAGGUGAGGAAUAAGCCCCGGCCAAUUACGUGCCAGCAGCCGCGGUAACACGUAUGGGGCGAGCGUUGUUCGGAAUCAUUGGGCGUAAAGGGCGCGCAGGCGGUUAAAUAAGCCUGGUGUGAAAGGCUACGGCUCAACUGUAGUUUCGCGCUGGGAACUGUUUGACUAGAGUUCUGGAGGGGAAGCUGGAAUUCCUGGUGUAGGGGUGAAAUCUGUAGAUAUCAGGAAGAACACCGGUGGCGAAGGCGAGCUUCUAGCCAAGAACUGACGCUGAGGCGCGAAAGCGUGGGGAGCGAACA